AUUGAACGCUGGCGGCAGGCCUAACACAUGCAAGUCGAGCGAGCGGCGGACGGGUGAGUAAUGUCUGGGAAACUGCCUGAUGGAGGGGGCUAACUACUGGAAACGGAAGCUAAUACCGCAUACCAUCAGAUGUGCCCAGAUGGGAUUAGCUAGUAGGUGGGGUAACGGCGCACCUAGGCGACGCUCCCUAGCUGGGCUGAGAGGAUGACCAGCCACACGGUAACUGAGACCAGGCCCAGACUCCUACGGGAGGCAGCAGUGGGGAAUAUUGCACAAUGGGCGCAAGCCUGAUGCAGCCAUGCCGCGUGUGUGAAGAAGGCCGUCGGGUUGUAAAGCACUUUCAGCGGGGAGGCGUUACCCGCAGAAGAAGCACCGGCUAACUCCGUGCCAGCAGCCGCGGUAAUAC
rnacentral:rRNA from 1 species